rnacentral:lncRNA from 1 species
UAUUUAAGCAUGGUCUGAGCAUUGGUGCCCAUAUCAGGUGCGGGAACAGUAUGAGUUCCAAUGAGGUCAUGGAUUUUCUCCAUUUCAACCCACGAUCUUCAAUCCAUUUCUUCACUUUAUAGAGACCAUUCACGGGCUUCAAUUUAUAUACAGCCAAUCUGUUUCCAUCAGGGAAAUUAUAUAAGGUGGGAACCAGAAAGAAAUGCUAUGCACACAGCACAGAGAAAGUGAAGCUUUUACCUGCGAAACAUGGCUUCCUUGUCUUCUGUGAACUUUAAGCCUCUUUCGAAGUCAUCAGGAAAGAGUAUCCUGGCAACAUCAUCAUUAUGCUUCCCAGCGAAAUUCUCAAUAUAGUACUCCUCAGUAAUCGGAACACCUCCGUUG